rnacentral:rRNA from 1 species
AUCAGUAGCUGGUCUGAGAGGACGACCAGCCACACUGGAACUGAGACACGGUCCAGACUCCUACGGGAGGCAGCAGUGGGGAAUUUUGGACAAUGGGCGCAAGCCUGAUCCAGCAAUGCCGCGUGAGUGAAGAAGGCCUUCGGGUUGUAAAGCUCUUUUGUCAGGGAAGAAACGGUAGGGGCUAAUAUCCCUUGCUAAUGACGGUACCUGAAGAAUAAGCACCGGCUAACUACGUGCCAGCAGCCGCGGUAAUACGUAGGGUGCAAGCGUUAAUCGGAAUUACUGGGCGUAAAGCGUGCGCAGGCGGUUUUGUAAGUCUGUCGUGAAAGCCCCGGGCUCAACCUGGGAAUUGCGAUGGAGACUGCAAGGCUUGAAUCUGGCAGAGGGGGGUAGAAUUCCACGUGUAGCAGUGAAAUGCGUAGAGAUGUGGAGGAACACCGAUGGCGAAGGCAGCCCCCUGGGUCAAGAUUGACGCUCAUGCACGAAAGCGUGGGGAGCAA